CUGCUAGAUUGUUAGUACUGAUUUUUAUUUAAAUCCUGCACAUAAAAUUUUAUCUCUGCUCCUUUUAAAAUUCUGAGUUACAUUUCAAUUGAAAAAUAUAUUGUGUGUCUGAGAGGCAUUUACUGCUGCCAAAUUGCCUACUUGCUGUCUCUACCCUCUGCACAGCUACUUCUGGAGGGAGUGGUUGUCUCAAGGAAAUCACAAGGAGUUUCAUCCAUUCUGCAAGUGGGCUCAAAAUUUAGCUCCAAUCUUCUUGUUACUUUUUAAUGUAUUUUUUGUGUGUGUGGUUCUGCCUGUAUACAAAGUAACUUAGAGCAGCAAAGAUCUAUAGGUUGUUUAUGUUUAACUGAGAGACAAAUACACUAUUGAUAAUAAAUUCUCAGCUACAAAACAACUUUUUCAGAAUAGCCACUGUUUGGUCUCCAUCAGCGUUCAGCAAGCAUCAAUGAAUGUCAACGCCUGCAGUUUUUUCCCACACGGAGGAAUCAAUGACGCAUCUUUGCUCCAUAUGCAUUUCCAUGUCAGAUGCCAUUUUGUCAGACUGCCCCUCUGCUGCCAACUGUCACACUGCAACAACAUAUAAUGGAGCACUGGUGGUGAUGUCUGGUUUGGACUCAGUGCACCUCCAGGCCUACUUCAUGUGGUGUUCCGCUGAGCAGCCACUCUGGCAGCAUAAAAGGACAGGACAAAUAAGAGCACCUUACUCCGAAGUUGCCUUAUAUUUCUGUAUGCACUGAAGCACAGAAGAAGCUAUUAGGUUCUACAGAGUCCUAACUUCUUGAAGGGAAACUUCCUGAAGAGAAUAGGCUGAAGAAGGCUGAAGGCAGCGGCAGCUAACAAUGAAAGGAAAAAGAAAAGGUUUAAGAUAGCAAAACCAAGACACUUGACUGUCAGAACUUGUGAAACUAAUUAUAUUAGCAAAUAAGGUACACUGUGAAGCAGGAAACAAACAUAUUCUUUGUAAUCAAGUUUUCUUUCCACUACUAAAUAAUAAUCAGUUUGAUGAAAUGCAAGAGGGAUAUUUAUCUUCUUUCUUUACAAGAUGCCGUGUGAACUUCUCUCUCCUGCCAAUUAGUAUUGAUCUUAUUCACUUUAUGCUUCCUUUCUAACAGUGAGGUAAUAGAAUCUGACACAUAAUUUGCUGAAAUAAUUUUUCAUUAGACUUCCCAGACCUUGUCAAUACCUUGACAUGGUAGGCAGAUCAUUGUAACAGUAUCUAGUAGUGUUCAUUUAAUAUCUUUAUAUUAGUUAGUCUGCAAAAUAAGUAUGCUUUGAGAAGGUUUUGGUGUUCAAAUUUUUGUAGCAAAGUUGAGUGGCAUAUAGCUGGAUGCAAACACAAGAUGACAAUGUGCUUUGAUAGCACUACGAUAUUUGGUCUGGUCUUGAAUUGCUCAUUUUUUGGUGUUUUUUUUUUCUUUUUUUGUGUGUGUGUGUGUUUUGUUUUGUUUUGUUUUGUUUGUUUGUUUGUUUGUUUGGAGACAGAAGCAAAAUGCAUCAAGGAUUUAUAUUAAAGCCAGCUAAAAAAAAAUCAGGCGAGCCAUCUACCAACAUUUGCUUUUUGACGUGUGCGCUUCCACAGAUAGUGUUUUCCUUUUGUUUGACUAACAAGGGUUGUAAUUCCAGCAUACUAAAAAAAAUCACAUUGAAUAAUUGGUUUGAUCUCCCACAUCUUCCAAGCUGAAGAUUAAUGCACAGGUGAACAAUACCUUUUUUCUUCCCUGUUUUCAGAGAUUUCAUUUAUUCUUUGUCCUUCUUUGUUCUGCGUUUUGUUUUCUAAUUAGUAUCUAAGCUCUCUAUAGACACAAAUUCUCCUUUCUUAGAACAGGACAGUGUCUCAGUCAAGCUAUAGAACUGGAAAUCAAAUAAUGGAAAAUAAUAUUCUUCAUAUGAAGCCAAGCAGGUUUUUGGAGAAUUGUUACAACAGUCAACUUCUAACUUCACUUUGCGUGGUGAGAAUGGUUUGUGCAUUCCAAGAAGCACCACAGAUAAAAGCUUUGGAAGCCCUCCAUGACCAGCAUGAUCUCUCAGAAUUGCAAAACUGUAAAGCAAUCCAAGAAUUCCUCUGAAUUAUUCACACAGGACAAUACCUUGGUGUGCCGGCGCAGACUGAAUGGCAGAACAAAGCCACAAGUGAGUUAUGCAUUCUCUAUCACUAUAAAACACAUGGAAAUUCCCCUCUGCUGAUGGGAGCCUUGUAUUAUCAUACUCUCAAGCUGUACAACAAAAAGCUUGGGAAUAUCACCCCUGGAAUCAGUAAAGUGCGCUGAUUGUUGGUCACUGAGGAGAAAUUAUCACUUCUGAUUCUGGACAUUGGAGUUUGCAUGGUGCAAAGCCACCAGAGUCUCAAAUACUCUGAGCAAUUUCCUUGAUUACAUCAGAAGAAAGGCAAACAAGUUGGAAUAGAAUCACAGAAUCAUAGAAUCAUAGAAUCACAGAAUCAUAGAAUCACAGAAUCAUAGAAUCAUAGAAUGGCCUGGGUUGAAAAGGACCUCAAAGAUAUCUAGUUUCAAUCCUCUGCCACAGUCAGGUUUUCCAGCCCCUAAACCAGGCUACCCAGAGCCACAUCCAGCCUGAAUCACAAAUGUAGGACUGAUCCUGCUUAUCUCUGUGUGUCUACAAUGGAAGUAUCUUCAUGAGAGGUAGGCAAAGAAGCUUUGAAUUUCAGUCAGUUGUAGUAGGCAUAAUUCAUCUGAUCUCAUCAGUAUGUGGUUUUGAAUGAUGUCAACUGUUUGUUUCCUGGCUCCCACUGGCCUUCUUACCCACAUCUACAGUGACUACAAUAGAAAUCUAAACAGACUUAGUGCAUGUAGACAUAGACCUAUGCAGAUACAUGUAAGUAUGGAUACUCAGUAAUGCAAACGCCACAUUACAACUUUGUAUCUGUCUGAUAAAAUAAGUUUACUUUUACUUUAAUUUUGAUCCUUUAACAUGGUGCUUCACAAGUUCUCAGCCCUGUAGUCUCUCAUGAUGAAUUAAAGACAAAAAAAAAAAAAAAAGAAAGAAAGAAAUGAUCAUACAAAUUAACAAUAAAGCGAGAUUAAGUAACAGUCCUCUAGAAAUUCCAUGUUUUCCUUGCUGUGAAUCUGAAACAGAUCUGAAGUUCUGUUGCACAGAUUUAUACCCAGAAGGUAGACCUUUAUUUCUCUGGACAUGAUCUGCUCCUGAUGUGAGACAGACAAUGUGUUUUCAUGAGGCCAGUUAACAUAAAUGCAUAAAUAAUUAAAUUAAGUAUCAGCAGCCAAGCAACUACAUGCAUAUAGUUGUACUCAUAAAAUGUGCUGCUCAAGAUUCCCCCCAAAAUCAAGAUCAUAUUCAGAGAAGGGCAACAAAGCUAAGGAGGGGGCUGGAGCACAAGUCUUAUGAGGAGUGGCUGAGGGAACUGGGAUUGUUUAGGCUAUAGAAGAAGAGCUUGAGAUGACCUUAUAGCUCUCUACAAAAACCUCCUCAGAAAGAAGAUUGUGACAAGCUGUGCAACUAACAACAGGACUAGAGGAAAUGGCCUCAAGUUACACCAGGGAUGGUUCAGGUUGGAUAUUAGGAAUUUUUUUUCUCCAAAAGAGUGGUCAGCUGCUAGAAUGGGCUGCCCAAGGGAGAUGCUUGAGUCACUGUCUGUAGAGGGUGCUGAAGACUUGGAGGUGUUCAAGAAAUGUUUAGAUGUUGUUCUAAGAGCAGUGUUUAGUGGGGAAAUAUUGGUGGCAGGUAGAUAGUUGGAUUGGGUGAUUUUGGAGGUUUUUCCCAACCUUGGUAAUUCUAUCAUUCUGUGAUCAAAACCUACAUAAAAACUGGCUCAAUAAAUACUUUGGCACUGAGACACAAAUGUAUAAGUUUCCAAGCAAAAAUUAAGAAGCUCAUUUUUCAUUCCAACUGUAACCAAAGGACAAUUACAGACCACAAAAAGCCACUUACUUAUAACCUCACAAAAGCAUAAGAAAAUCUGAAAGCAGAAAGCCAUUAGGGGAAUCAUCUGAGCAGUAAAUAUUAGGCAUACAGAAAAAAAAUCUCUAAACAUAGGCUUCUACAGGAAUCUGUGCAUAUGAAGAGAGAAAUCUAUCUCUAGAGAAGGGUGGGGGUUAUUAAUGCAAAGGGUACUGUUCUCCACUCCAUUCUCUAUUUCAUUCUCAUUGAAAACCUCUACAAAACUAAGCUAUUUUCAUGUUAGCAAAGAAGAUAGUCUAACCAUUCUCACCCAAAGCUAUUUUCCCCCCUGAAGUCAUACUAAUGCUUUAAAAUGUCAGUGCAAAAUAAAUAAGUUAAACUGACUUCUGCUAGGUGAAUUCAUGCAGCAUGUGGCUCAAGAAUAACCUUCCAGAUAAACUAUUUGUUCUUUAGGGUAUUAAACUGCACUUGCAUCAUUCUUUAAUCAGAAUUCACAGCAAUGUCAAAAGUCAUAAACUUUAUCUUCAAUUUAUUACAACAAUAACAUUUCCCUUUGGCCCCUGAAAUAGAUUAUUGGAGUGCUUCAACGAGCAUGCACACAGCCUUAGUGACCCUAAAUGACUGGUCUUAACUCGCCCUUAGAAUUGAUGAGAAAACAGGCAAGCAAGCAAAAUACCUAAGGUCAGCAUCUCCUUAAAAAAUCAACAGAGACACCCUCAAAGUGGCAACAGCUACUACUCAAAUAGCAAAGGUUCAGACAUUAGGAUGGACCUCAACAAAAAUUUAAAAUCAAAAUCAAUGCUUUGGACAAACAUAACCCAAACAACACAGCCACUUACUGGCAGCUUUCCUUUGGCUACAAGAAAUUAGAUCCUUUGUGGGAAAAGUUCUAAUCUCUAGGCAGAUCAGAAAAAAGAAACUACAGUAAUAUUUCUGAUUUUGUUGAAUAUAUUAAGAUGAAGUUUUCAGUACACUAGCUUUCAAUCAGAGACAUUCAACUGAAAGGCAUAAUUUGGGUGUGUACCAUCCAAGAAUGAAAGCAAAGGGAAAAUUAAUGUAAUGUAAUUUAACUAGACAUGAUUGUAAGAUGUGAAACCUAAAUGUUCCAUCCAUUUUGAUGGGAGUGGGAAAAAAUCAUUUAAAAAUAAAUACAAAACUAAUGAUUGUCAGAAUCUUUUGUUGAACUGAUUUUGUUGCAAAAACAUGGAUUUAUUACUGCAACAAAAACUCUUAAUGAAUUGUACCCAAAAAAGUGUUGCUAGAUGCAAUUUCUAGAAAUGUUGCCUGAGAGAGGAAGAAAAGAGAAGCCUGUGAGCACAUGAACUAACCCCGCCUCAGGUACUCAUUGAAAUGAAACUGCUUAUUCAAACUACAUACUGUAAAAUGAAUUACUGUUAUUUAAGACACUUUAACAAGACUUAAAGCCUUAACUACGUUUGUCAAUCUUAUAUAAUCUAUGUAUUUUCUUUAUGCUUUAAUAACAUUUUUGUUGAAAUCCUGAAUAUACAUAGGAACUACUAAAACAAGCCAAGACUAAUAAUAAACUGGCAUUGGUCCUCAGUUCUCUUGGUUAUCGCAAAGCAUGUGCUGAAGUGGAUAUUCUGAAGAUAAAAGAGUGAGGAUUCAGGUCUCCCAGGAAACACAGGCAAGAGUAAUUUAUACAAGCAUUAAAUUAACACAUAAAUGUCAGUGUAAAGUAGUUGCAUAAGGACAUGGGAGGAUGCUCAAGAAAAGAAAUUCCAGUAUGGUCAACCAGUUGAAAAGGAAAGCAAAGAUAUCACCAUAUGAAGAAAAGGGAGAUAAAAGAGUUGUUGCAUCAAGACAUCUGCUCUUUGAUCAUUGACUAAGAGAUGAUAGAGUGUAAUCUUCUGAAAGCAUGUGACUUGAGUAAUAGAUUUCCAGUUUCACCGUUAAUAUCAUUUUCCCAUGUACAGAACAAAGUAAAUAUAUUCUUGCAAUGUUCAGCAAAAGAAUGAUCCAGUCAGAAGUUGGCGCUGGUUUCCUCUUUUAUUUCUGCUUCUUUUGUUGGUCCUAUUUUUGCUUUUUUUCAAAACACAUUGAAAGGCACAUGUUCUUUUGCAAAACAGAAUUAGUUUUUCAGUCUCUCUUGCACACACAUGAACUUACUUAUUUUUAAAUGUUCAUUUUACUUUAACAAAAAAAUAACUAAACAAACAAAAACCCAGCAGAGUGAAUGAUAAAAACUUUACUUAACGCCUGCAUUUACAUUUAAUCAUUACGUGUUUAUAGGUUUAUAGGUGGGGCACAGACAGCAUACUAAUAAAACGUUUUACCAUUAACAAUGAUACAGAAACAUUCUCCCCCUUAAUAAGAAAUCUGGGCUCUGAAUUCUCUCCUCAUCUAAUUGGCCAGUAGACUAAGGGAGAUUUGGUUCCAGAUUAGGUUUUUUAGUCCAUCUAGAUUACUGUAGAGGAAGUUGAGAUGUCUACAAGUGUGUUAGAAUUUUUCAGUUCCCAGUGAAACAAAUAGUCUGAAGAUCUCAAUCUCAAGUAAAUGUAUAGAUAUGUACCUAUUAUGAACAGAAUCCUGCUUGCAAAUUUUUCAUAGACACACUCUUUCAUUCUUCCUGAAUGAAAUAUCACAGCAUUGCAUUGGAAAAGACCCUUAAAGGCCAUCUAGUCCUACUUCCCUGCUGUGAACAGGAACACCUACAGCUAGAUCAGGGUGCUCAGAGCCUUAUUCAGCUUCACUUUAGAUAUCACCAUAGAAAAUAACAAUUUCCAGGAUUAAAGUCACAUCUAAGUAUAUUUUUAUCAUUAAUGUUCAACAGUUUUAUCCAGUAGUUUUACUCUCUUGUGAGACAACAUCUCAAGGCAGUCUGAGUUAUGAAGAAAUAGUCACCUACACCUAUAGUACAUGCAAAGCAAGAUGUGCUCUCACAGAGUUUCCUGGCUCAAUGGAAAGUAGGAUUAUAAGAGCAGCUCCUGCAGCUUUUGUUAGGCAGUGUUUUCUGGUUUUGAUAUUAAAGCUAUGAACACUAGAUUUGAUGUAACACUCAGCAGUUUCAGCAGCUUGCUGUGCGUGGGCAGGAAAGCUGCAUCUGUAGAUUCUCUCUCAGCUGCUGCUUACAAGUUUAAGAGCAGCAGUAACCUACUGGUGAUGCUUUUGAGCCUCCUUAAUAACCAGGUUUUGUAAUAGAUUCACAGAUCAUCAUGCAGCUCCUGGUUUUUGGAAAGUUACUGCUUCCUUAGCCUCAUUGCUAGCUCCCAGGCUACAUGCAAAACAUAUGCCCCGGUGGGUUACAGAGGCACUAUAUUUUUCCUGUGUGGUGACUGAUGUUUGCUAGUACUUUUAAGUAAGCUGAGUAAGUGUAUUCUUGAAAUGCACCACAGCAGUCAUAAGGCAUUUUGUUACUGGGGCAGAAUGUUAUAAGUGUGAUUAUGGAACCAAUUUCAACCAAGCAGUGAAAGUGCAGGCUGAAAAAAAAAAAAAACUAAACUGUAGCAUUCCCAUGAGCCAACACAGCUUUUCCUUAUACUUCAAAUAUAAAAGAAAAAUAUAGAUAUUUCAUUUUUAUAAAAUCAGUUUUGUAAGUUUGUUUGACAAAAGAAAGCACUGUUUAAUUCAUGUGAGAUACUACAUUCGUGGACUAUGGAUUAACUGAAUAUGAAGCUUACAGACUAUGCGUUCUAUUUAUUUAUUUGUUUGUUUGUUGCUAGGGCUCAGGUCCUUCUGUUCCCCUCAGAUACCUGCAGCAGAACAUAAAAAAUAAUAGAGACCAUGACACUUCAUCUAGUUGGGGAACAGAUCCAAGCUCUGCAGCUGUCCACAGCUAUUAUCCACAUUGAUGUAAUUUGCAAAAGGCUCACAUUUCUAACAUUUCUACCCAACUCUGUUGGCAUUUCAAAUUGCGGUGGCUUGCAAUACCUAAAAGAAAAAUGAAAUUUCUAGAGCAGCGCAACUACUAAUACUCAUAAAUAGGAUUUCAUGAGGCUUUUUUUCCUUUUUUCUUUUCCCUUUUUUUUUUUUUUUUCCCUCAAUUAGUCCACUUUUUAAACCCAGGUUCCCCAAAGAGACUGUGUAAUAAAGAAUUAAUUUAUUCACUUCAAAUGCCUGAGAUUUGCCAAACUAUGAAUUAAUGAUAGCCAGUCUUUUAUGUCAAAUCACUCACGUCACUUUCUCUCACCCAGGAAAGUUCAUGACAUUUUGUUAUCUAUUCCAAAUGAAUUCACUGGAUUUUAAGGACACAGGUUCAGCUGUGGACGUUUUUGGACCCUGAGUUGCCUUUCUCAGCAAACCAAUAAAGAGGCCUAUGGCAUUAAUUUGUUUGUGCCUGUCUUCUGGGCUGUGUUGUUACUGUGUCCUAGAAGGAGUGUUUCCAGUAGUCUUCAAUGAGCUCAGAAUCAAGUAAUUAAGAAUGCCAUAACAUUGUGGAAAGGCAUGUUGCUCUGUAUAAAAGGGAUGCAGCUGUGUGUUGUUAAAGGCUGUAAAAUGGAGAAAGGACAUAAUGAAGGAAAAACCGGAAUCUUCCAACAAACCUAGGCUGAAUUUCAAGAACAAAUCUUUCCAGUGGGAGAAAGAAAUGGAACUAGUUCUUAUUUUGGUCAUAGAAUCACAGAAUUAUUUGAGUUGGAGGGACCCUUACAGGUCUUCUAGUUCUCAACUGAAGUCACCAUCCUGGAGGUGUUCAAGAAAAAUGCAGAUGUGGCACUGAGGGACAUGGUUAGUAGGAAUAGUGGGGAUGGAUUGACAAAUGGACUAGAUGAUGUUAGAGAUCUUUUCCAACCUUAAUGAUUCUAUGAUUUUAAGUAGUAUGUGGUACACCAGAGGCAUGAAAACUACCACUACACAAGCCUGCCUACAGACUUUUCUGCUAAGACUAAAGAUAUCUAGAAACGAGAUUUGGAGUUUGAGCCCCUAAGACAGCAGAAAACUGAGCUGAACCACACAUAUUAGCAUCCUUCACACAACAUGUGGUGGCAACCCCUGCCUUCACUUUUCCUUCAGCAUCGCUACCCUGAAAAUAACCCAGGAUCUUCUCCACAUGGCUGCAUCAUCAUGACUGACAUAAGGGUUCUCCUGCUCUCAUCACACCAUAUAAGCCACACCUGCUACCUUAAGUGACAUGGAAUUUUCUGCCUUCAAAACACCCUGCCUUUGCUACUAAUAUACAAGAAAUCUCAUCGUCCCACCAGAGCCACUGCUGGUGCCUGAAAAACCAAAAUCAAACAAACAGCAAAAGAAAACAACAACAAAAAACAAACCAAGAAGAGCUGCCUUAAAACACAGUACUGCAACCCAGUGAAACAA